rnacentral:rRNA from 1 species
GUAGGUGGCAAGCGUUGUCCGGAAUUAUUGGGCGUAAAGCGCGCGCAGGCGGUCCUUUAAGUCUGAUGUGAAAGCCCACGGCUCAACCGUGGAGGGUCAUUGGAAACUGGGGGACUUGAGUACAGAAGAGGAAAGCGGAAUUCCAAGUGUAGCGGUGAAAUGCGUAGAGAUUUGGAGGAACACCAGUGGCGAAGGCGGCUUUCUGGUCUGUAACUGACGCUGAGGCGCGAAAGCGUGGGGAGCAAACAGGGAUUAGAUACCCUGGUAGCCCACGCCGUAAACGAUGAGUGCUAAGUGUUAGGGGGUUUCCGCCCCUUAGUGCUGCAGCUAACGCAUUAAGCACUCCGCCUGGGGAUACGGCCGCAAGGCUG